GAGUUUGAUUCUGGCUCAGAGUGAACGCUGGCGGCGUGCCUAAUACAUGCAAGUCGAACGGAGAUAUGAGGGCUUGCUCUUAUAUCUUAGUGGCGCACGGGUGAGUAAUGUAUAGCUAAUCUGCCCUACACUAGAGGACAACAGUUGGAAACGACUGCUAAUACUCUAUACUCCUUCUUUACAUAAGUUAAGUCGGGAAAGUUUUUCGGUGUAGGAUGAGGCUAUAUCGUAUCAGCUAGUUGGUGAGGUAAUGGCUCACCAAGGCUAUGACGCGUAACUGGUCUGAGAGGAUGAUCAGUCACACUGGAACUGAGACACGGUCCAGACUCCUACGGGAGGCAGCAGUAGGGAAUAUUGCUCAAUGGGGGAAACCCUGAAGCAGCAACGCCGCGUGGAGGAUGACACUUUUCGGAGCGUAAACUCCUUUUCUUGGGAAAGAAUUAUGACG
rnacentral:rRNA from 1 species